GAUGAACGCUGGCGGCGUGCCUAAUACAUGCAAGUCGAGCGAAUGGAUUAAGAGCUUGCUCUUAUGAAGUUAGCGGCGGACGGGUGAGUAACACGUGGGUAACCUGCCCAUAAGACUGGGAUAACUCCGGGAAACCGGGGCUAAUACCGGAUAACAUUUUGAACCGCAUGGUUCGAAAUUGAAAGGCGGCUUCGGCUGUCACUUAUGAAUGGACCCGCGUCGCAUUAGCUAGUUGGUGAGGUAACGGCUCACCAAGGCAACGAUGCGUAGCCGACCUGGGAGGGUGAUCGGCCACACUGGGACUGAGACACGGCCCAGACUCCGACGGGAGGCAGCAGUAGGGAAUCUUCCGCAAUGGACGAAAGUCUGACGGAGCAACGCCGCGUGAGUGAUGAAGGCUUUCGGGUCGUAAAACUCUGUUGUUAGGGAAGAACAAGUGCUAGUUGAAUAAGCUGGCACCUUGACGGUACCUAACCAGAAAGCCACGGCUAACUACGUGCCAGCAGCCGCAGUAA
rnacentral:rRNA from 1 species